UACAAUCUCAGCAGUCCUGAAACCGUUAGUUUGUGGUUAACAAACAUUUCGAGAUUUGACUUGGAAGUUGAAAAGAAAAUAGAAAGUUGCAAGGAAGAUGAAGAUCGUUCAAGUGCUUGUUUUAGUAUUUGUUAUAAUGUACCUCGAGGAGACAUGUCAUGGCUAUGCGGGUGAAAAGCGAAAUUCUUGCAGUUGUAGCAGUAUAGCUGGAACGUGCUUUACAACUUGUCCAGCAGGCUACAGGGAUUGCGGUUCUGGUGUCCCUUCGACCUG